rnacentral:rRNA from 1 species
ACUUAAACCCCUUCCGGGGGUACUACGCGAAAGCGUGGCUAAUACCGCAUACGCCCUACGGGGGAAAGGGGGGGAUCUUAGGACCUCUCACUAUUGGAGCGGCCGAUAUCGGAUUAGCUAGUUGGUGGGGUAAAGGCCUACCAAGGCGACGAUCCGUAACUGGUUUGAGAGGACGACCAGCCACACUGGGACUGAGACACGGCCCAGACUCCUACGGGAGGCAGCAAUGGGGAAUUUUGGACAAUGGGGGAAACCCUGAUCCAGCCAUCCCGCGUGUGCGAUGAAGGCCUUCGGGUUGUAAAGCACUUUUGUCAGGGAAGAAAAGGUUUCGGAUAAUACCCGGAACUGAUGACGGUACCUGAAGAAUAAGCACCGGCUAACUACGUGCCAGCAGCCGCGGUAAUACGA